rnacentral:rRNA from 1 species
AGCGAACGCUGGCGGCAGGCCUAACACAUGCAAGUCGAACGAAGUCUUCGGACUUAGUGGCGGACGGGUGAGUAACACGUGGGAACGUGCCUUUAGGUUCGGAAUAACUCAGGGAAACUUGUGCUAAUACCGAAUGUGCCCUUCGGGGGAAAGAUUUAUCGCCUUUAGAGCGGCCCGCGUCUGAUUAGCUAGUUGGUGAGGUAAAGGCUCACCAAGGCGACGAUCAGUAGCUGGUCUGAGAGGAUGAUCAGCCACAUUGGGACUGAGACACGGCCCAAACUCCUACGGGAGGCAGCAGUGGGGAAUCUUGCGCAAUGGGCGAAAGCCUGACGCAGCCAUGCCGCGUGAAUGAUGAAGGUCUUAGGAUUGUAAAAUUCUUUCACCGGGGACGAUAAUGACGGUACCCGGAGAAGAAGCCCCGGCUAACUUCGUGCCAGCAGCAGCCGCCG